GAUGAACGCUGGCGGCGUGCCUAAUACAUGCAAGUCGAGCGAACAGACGAGAAGCUUGCUUCUCUGAUGUUAGCGGCGGACGGGUGAGUAACACGUGGAUAACCUACCUAUAAGACUGGGAUAACUUCGGGAAACCGGAGCUAAUACCGGAUGAUAUUUUGAACCGCAUGGUUCAAUAGUGAAAGACGGUCUUGCUGUCACUUAUAGAUGGAUCCGCGCUGCAUUAGCUAGUUGGUAGGGUAACGGCUUACCAAGGCAACGAUGCAUAGCCGACCUGAGAGGGGGAUCGGCGACACUGGAACGGAGACACGGUCCAGAGUCCUACGGGAGGCAGCAGUAGGGAACCUGACGCAGUGGGCGAAAGCCUGACGGAGCAACGCGGAGUGAGUGAUGAAGGCCUUCGGAGCGUAAUAAUCGGUUAUUAGGGAAGAACAGAUGUGGAAGUAACUGUGGACAGCUUGACGGUACCUAGUAAGAAAGCAACGGCUAACUACGUG
rnacentral:rRNA from 1 species